rnacentral:rRNA from 1 species
AACGAACGCUGGCGGCAUGCCUAACACAUGCAAGUCGAACGAGACCUUCGGGUCUAGUUGCGCACGGGUGCGUAACGCGUGGGAACCUGCCCUUAGGUUCGGAAUAACUCCCCGAAAGGGGUGCUAAUACCGGAUAAUGUCUUCGGACCAAAGAUUUAUCGCCUUUGGAUGGGCCCGCGUUGGAUGAGCUAGUUGGUAGUGUAAAAGCCUACCAAGGCGACGAUCCAUAGCUGGUCUGAGAGGAUGAUCAGCCACACUGGGACUGAGACACGGCCCAGACUACGAAGAGAGGCGGAAGAGGGGAAGAUUGGAGAAGGGGAGCAAGGGGGAUAAAGCAAUAACGCGUGGGGGAAGAAGGAUGUAGGGUUGUAAAGAGUAUUUGUAGAGAAAGAAAAGCAGCAGGUGAAGAACCAGCUGUGAUGACGGUAACAAAAGAAUAAGCACCGGCUAACUUAGUG